GUGUCAGCAGCCGCGGUAAGACGAACCGUGCGAACGUUAUUCGGAAUCACUGGGCUUAAAGGGCGCGUAGGCGGGCUCGUAAGUCAGGGGUGAAAUCCCACGGCCCAACCGUGGAAGUGCCUUUGAUACUGCGGGCCUCGAGGGGGAUAGGGGCGUGCGGAACUCAGGGUGGAGCGGUGAAAUGCGUAGAUAUCCUGAGGAACACCGGUGGCGAAAGCGGCGCGCUGGAUCCCUUCUGACGCUGAGGCGCGAAAGCCAGGGGAGCAAACGGGAUUAGAUACCCCGGUAGUCCUGGCCCUAAACGUUGGGUACUAGGUAGCGGCCUGUCAUGGGGUCGCUGCCGGAGCAAAAGUGUUAAGUACCCCGCCUGGGGAGUAUGGUCGCAAGGCUGAA
rnacentral:rRNA from 1 species